UUAAGCUGAACGUAAGUUGGACUGACUUUUAAGAAAGAUGACAGGCUGCUUUCAUUUUUCUUUAAACCAAAUACUCUUUAGGACUCUAAUAUAAAACAUCACCCAAGGCUUUUACAAUUAUUUCAAGUACUGCAAUUCAAGGGCAACCUGAAAGAAUACUCAAAGAUAGAAAGGAAUGCGGCUCUCUCAAAAAGACUGAGUGCUGAGGGGAAGCAGGUCGUUUAGCAGUCCUAUGGCUCACCACCCCUUUAAUCACAAUAGCUUCCAUUCUGUCCCCGGAGUUUAAAACGAGGCAUAGCUUUACGUUUUUAGUGUAAUAUAAUUUUGCAUUCAUCUUGUCAAGGUGCAUUUCUUUCCAGUCAUGCAUUUUCGGAAAGGACUCAUCCAAACAGAAGGGCAAAGUGACUUCAAGGAACAUGGACCGGGCAGUGGACGGGGAGGUGACAGAGGCAGAGGAAGCUUUGUGUCAUGGAGAAAGAAGAAACAGGAAACCUUGGCCUGGCCCGUUAGGACCGGUUAUGCCUCAGAGCAAUGGCCUUGCUCCCAAAAGGAGACCGUCCACACCCAUAAUGCGACACGCGUACCUCAGCCAGGAGCUUAGCUCGAACACGCCACUUCAGACAGCGUGGUGUUACACAAAGUAAUAACUAAUUAAACCUAGUAACCAAACCUUCAUUAUGCGUUUUAAAAAAACUAAGUGCUUAAAAAUUCCAAAUGUCUAAAGUGUAAACUAAAACACGACCAUUGUAUCAAUAAAGUCACAGGAUAAGCUUAUUUCACAAUCAAGUCUGCUGGCUGACACUUGCA
rnacentral:lncRNA from 1 species